rnacentral:rRNA from 1 species
GAGUACGGCCGCAAGGUUAAAACUCAAAUGAAUUGACGGGGGCCCGCACAAGCGGUGGAGCAUGUGGUUUAAUUCGAUGCAACGCGAAGAACCUUACCUACUCUUGACAUCCAGAGAACUUUCCAGAGAUGGAUUGGUGCCUUCGGGAACUCUGAGACAGGUGCUGCAUGGCUGUCGUCAGCUCGUGUUGUGAAAUGUUGGGUUAAGUCCCGCAACGAGCGCAACCCUUAUCCUUUGUUGCCAGCGGUNNGGCCGGGAACUCAAAGGAGACUGCCAGUGAUAAACUGGAGGAAGGUGGGGAUGACGUCAAGUCAUCAUGGCCCUUACGAGUAGGGCUACACACNUGCUACAAUGGCGCAUACAAAGAGAAGCGACCUCGCGAGAGCAAGCGGACCUCAUAAAGUGCGUCGUAGUCCGGAUUGGAGUCUGCAACUCGACUCCAUGAAGUCGGAAUCGCUAGUAAUCGUAGAUCAGAAUGCUACGGUGAAUACGUUCCCGGGCCUUGUACACACCGCCCGUCACACCAUGGGAGUGGGUUGCAAAAGAAGUAGGUAGCUUAACUNUNGGGAGGGCGCUUACCACNNGAGANCAAGACCGGGGNGAAGUCGUAACAAGGNAAC